rnacentral:rRNA from 1 species
GUCGUUUCUUUCGCCUUCGCACGCAUGUCUCCUCCUCUCCUCCUUUCCCAGUGGUGCACGCCUCCUCCUCCCAUUCCUUCUCCCUUGUCCCAGCGGCCCUCAAUCUCCCACCACGACCGCUCGAGAACGACGGCGACGAGGAGGCCCGACCCUUGGCGCAGACCCGUGCCCCCGAGGGGCGGUGACGUCAGAUCUCUCCGUCUGGCGAGGCCAGCCAUCCCAUCCGUGCCGCGAUGUCCCCAGUAUGGAAGCCCGGGCUGGGGCAGCCAACGCGGCGUCUUGUGCGCCGGAGGGGGCUCUGGCGACCGCGCGGCGGGGGACUGCACGGCGUCUGGUCGUGGGUUCCGGCGACGGCAAGCCGUAGAUCUGAGCCGCCGUCUCCACUUCCUCCUUCCUCACUUGAAGAUGCUUUGGCAGGGAUCCUCCAUAUCAAGGGAAGAGCGGGGUAGUGUGGGCGAGGAAAGUCCUUGUGUACCAG